GAAGUCGGAAUUGCUAGUAAUGGCAGGUCAGCAUACUGCCGUGAAUACGUUCCCGGGCCCUUGUACACACCGCCCGUCACACCAUGAGAGUUAGGAAUACCCGAAGCCUGUGAGCUAACUUUUAGAGGCAGCAGUCGAAGGUAGAACUAAUGAUUGGGGUGAAGUCGUAACAAGGUAUC
rnacentral:rRNA from 1 species